GUGUUCACUUUGGCAGCAUAAAAAUUAAAAUUGAACAAUAAAGAGAAGAUUAACAUGGCCCCCUGUGCAAAAUUGACAUGUAAAUUUGUGAGGCAUUCCAUAUUUUA